rnacentral:rRNA from 1 species
AUUGAACGCUGGCGGAAUGCCUUACACAUGCAAGUCGAACGGCAGCACGGGGCAACCUGGUGGCGAGUGGCGAACGGGUGAGUAAUACAUCGGAACGUGCCCAGUCGUGGGGGAUAACGUAGCGAAAGUUACGCUAAUACCGCAUACGAUCUACGGAUGAAAGCGGGGGAUCGCAAGACCUCGCGCGAAUGGAGCGGCCGAUGUCAGAUUAGGUAGUUGGUGGGGUAAAGGCUCACCAAGCCAACGAUCUGUAGCUGGUCUGAGAGGACGACCAGCCACACUGGGACUGAGACACGGCCCAGACUCCUACGGGAGGCAGCAGUGGGGAAUUUUGGACAAUGGGCGCAAGCCUGAUCCAGCCAUUCCGCGUGCAGGAUGAAGGCCUUCGGGUUGUAAACUGCUUUUGUACGGAACGAAACGGUUCUCUCUAAUACAGGGGGCUAAUGACGGUACCGUAAGAAUAAGCACCGGCUAACUACGUGCCAGCAGCCGCGGUAACAC